UCCCGCGGGGGCCCUCGUUCUUCGGAAUUAUUGGGCGUAAAGGGCGCGUAGGCGGUUUUUUAAGUCGGAUGUGCAAUCCCUGGGCUCAACCCAGGAACUGCAUCCGAGACUGGAAGGCUAGAGUACUGGAGAGGGUGGUGGAAUUCCUCGUGUAGCGGUGAAAUGCGUAGAGAUGAGGAGGAACACCAGUGGCGAAGGCGGCCACCUGGACAGUAACUGACGCUGAGGCGCGAAAGCGUGGGUAGCAAACAGG
rnacentral:rRNA from 1 species